UGUGUGUUUCACCUAUCCUCCGAGGACUAUGGUAUGAAAAAACACCUUUUCUCCGAGGACGUAAAUUUCUUCCGAGGACUUUUUUUACGUCCUCGGUAAAAAAUUCUCUAUUUCGUUAGAAAAUGUCGAACUAAAUCACGUGGUGAAGUUUGGUGAAAGUCCUCUGAAGGUUAGUAACAUGUGAAUAUGUGUAACGUCGUCACACAAUUUUAUCCCUCUGCCAUAACACACUCUGCAUAUUUCCGACGCGGGUGGGUGCGCGCGCAUCCGAAUGGAAUUUUUUUAAUGCGCGCGCAUCGGCAUGCCGGAAAUCAUGAAAGGUCUUUGCUCAGCAUCAUGAGCAUGACAUGGUUUGCAUUAUUUACAACGGUGUUGCAUGGUAGACAUUCUCGGACUGGAUUCCCUGUUUAGGGGAAAGCUAGCUAUUGUUGAAGAGGAUGAAGAUGUGGAUUCAGAAAGUAAAGAUUUGAGAAUGGAGGAUGAUGAUGAGAGUCUUGUUGAUAGCUUUGAUCAUGAAGAUAGCCCAGAUGAAAGUGUUGUUUGUCCAAUUCAACAAAGAGCAGAGAAAUCGCUGAAAGCAAAACCAAAAUGAGUUCCAUGGACAGACACGGAGAAAAAAAAAGUAAA